GAAUCUGAAUUGCAACUGCGACCUACUGCAAUGAGCAGGGCUGGGGAUCAAACAUGCACUGCCUCAGAGACAAGACCAGAAACUUAACCCACUUCACCGCAGCAGGAACUCUGAGAAAUACUGGUUUAAAUAGAAUUGUGUCACAUGCAUUUUCCUACUGCCCUCAUCGGCACUGACUGCAAAUUAGGAAAAACUGCAUAAUGAGUGAAAUCAGACUUAGAAUAAUUGUUCCCAGAAAUUGUUUUCUGUUAAAUCUGCUGUAUUGUCCAUGGGAGACCUUGUCCAGAGCUUGGGUCAGACUCACAGUUGGAGGCAUCUUCUCCAUGAGAGAGACAAAAACUGGCAAAAUAACUGAUGCGAGCCAAGAGAUUUUAGAAGCCAGCCGUCCUGAAAUGUUGUAAAGGUGAGCACUGAGGAUGUGUGACUAAUGUCCAGGAAAAUCACUUGUAUCAAGGGCAGUAAUCAUUUUAAUAGAAGGCUUCAAAAAGUUUCAAAAACAAAUGGUGUCAUGCUACCUUAAUUCAAGGCAGAUGAGUAUAUGCAGGCGUUUGCUGUUAUUAAAACUUACCAGGAGUUCCCAUUGUGGCUCAACAGGUUACAAACCCGACUAAUAUCCAUGAGGAUUCAGUCUUGAUCCCUCACCUGGCUCAGUGAGUUAAGGAUCUGGCAUUGCCACAGCUAUGAUGUAGGCUUGGAUCCAGCAUUGCUGUGGUUGUGGCGUAGGCCAGCAGCUGCAGCUCCAAUUCCAUCCCUAGCCUAAGAACUUCCAUAUGGGUGCAGCCCUAAAAAGACCCCCCCCUUAAAAAAAAAAAAGCAUAAAAAGAAGGCUGUGGUUCAUAUCAUUCUCCCGGAUUCCAGUUGGAGAGCAUAUUAGCUAUUGGUCUGUGGUUUCAUAAUGCAGGACACAUGGGUAAUUAGUAUCAUGCUUAGGGUCUUUGUUCAUUUUCGUUUAGUUUACUCUUCUAAAUUGUAAAUCAACCCAAAUCACAAAAUCAAUGAAUAGCAAUCAUCACCUGCCACCUGAUGUCAAGCAGCUGACAUUUUGGAACAUCUAAAUUGUUGCACAAAUUUUUUGUCUUCAGCCAGAUGUUUAGCAUCCAGUGGUCAUGCCUUUCCUCCUGACCCCCUCAGCCCCACCUGGGUUUAGACCUUUCCUGCAAAGAAUGGUCCUGCAGCUACUCUUGCAUUAAGUACAGCUUGUUUUAUUCAUUUUCUAGUUAUUCAAAAUACUUUAUUAGUAAGCGUUCUUAGUUGCAAGCAAUAGAAAUAGAUUCUGGCUAAAUUAAACAGAAAAGAAUUUAUGGGAAAGCUAAUAUGGACUCGUGAUCACAGUAGGAGGAGGGAGACUGGGCUUGAGGAAGGGCAGGGUCAAGGAAGUGCCAGCCCCACCCACUUCCCCACCCACAGUGUAGAUCACCAGACCAAGACUGUCUUGCCACUUAUCCACACUCCUGGGGCAAAGCCUUCUCAGGUUCGCUACAUGAGAGGUGGAUUUGGGAGCAACAAAUGGCCCUCCUACUAAGACAACUACCAGAGGAAGAAAGAUUUUUCCCCAUAAGGAAACUGGAGGAGUUCCCUGGUCGUCUAGAGGGUUAAGGAUCUGGCAUUGUCCACUGCUGUGACAUGGGUUCAAUCCAUGGCCCAGUAACUUCCAAAAACAGAAAACUAAAAUGUUACAAGGAAGUGGGGGUGAUGCUUCCCAUGUAUGUCUGCUACAAAUAAUAUGCAGGGUUGGUUUUUUUUAACUUUUUAAUUAAUUUUUUUUUUCUUUUUUAGCUGCACUCGCUGCAUAUGGAAGUUCCUGGGCCAGGAAUUGAAUCUCAGCCACAACUGCGGCAAUGCCAGAUUCUUAACUCACAGCACCAGGCCGGGGAUUGAACCUGUGCCGCUACAGAGACCAUGCCAGAUCCUUAACCUGCUGUGCCACAGUGAGAACUCCCUACUUUUUUUUUUUUUUUUUUUUUUUUUUUUNCACCCAAGGCAUAUGGAAACUCCCAGGCUAGGGAUCGAAUCAGAGCUACAGCUGCCAGCCUACAGCCACAGCAACACAGGAUCUGAGCCAUGUCUGCAACUUACACCACAGCUCAUGGGAACACCGGAUCCCUAACCCACUGAGCGAGGCCAGGAAUCGAACUGCAUCCUCAUGAUUACUAGUCGGUUUUGUUUCUGCUGCGCCACAACCAGAACUCCCCCUAAAUUAUUUUUAAAAUGCAUGUUCAUUAUGGAAAAUACACAGCAUUAUCUUUCUAUAUUUUUUCCUAAAAUUGGAAUUCUAUUGAAUGUACAAUUUAUAACCAACUUUUUUUCACCUAACCAUGCACUGGGAUCAUUUUCCAUGCCAUUAACCGCUCAUCUGCAACAUGCUUUUCAGAGUGGCGGUGGUCUUUCUCCUCUGUAUUUAUUUUAAAUCACUUGGGCAUUUUCUCUUUUGCUUUUUUUACCUUUGUAAAUGAUGCUGGACUGAACACAAUACUCUUUUUCGCUCUUUGGCUUUCAUAUAUUGAAGCCUCCCCAGAUAUGGGGACUCUGCUAAGUGCUUGUGUGCCUUUUCACAUUUACUCUUCCCGGCAUCCCUCCUGGUUAAUCCUAUUAUCAUCACCGUUUUACAGAUGAGGAACAUGCCGAGUGGAGGCUAUAAAUAACUUGCCUAAGGUCACACAGCCGCUGAGCGGAUGGUCCCCACAUAACCCUUGGGUCCCACAGAUGGCAGAUGCAGAAUCAGCCUGUCUGACUCCAGGCUCAGGCUUGAAGCUCCCCCAUUCCUUCUCUCGUAGAAAUCAUUCAUUGGAUAAUCUGCGAAUAUUUUCCUUAGGAUAAAAAAUCAGGAGGAGUUCCUGUUGUGGCUCAGCAGUUAACGAAUCUGACU
rnacentral:lncRNA from 1 species